rnacentral:lncRNA from 1 species
UAGAUUUAAUAUAACAACAACAUUAAGAAUUAGGGAAUUAGACUAUUCCAAGUAACAAACACAUAAGCUCGGAUUGUUUAACUUAUCUUCUGAUAAUCAUAGCAAUACUCAAAAUCUUAUCCACAAUCAGGUAUUACUAAUUAUUACUUAUGAUUAGGAACAAUAUCAAUUAUACAUAAUAUUAUUCCUUAAUCUAGCAUGUGAUGUAAGACCUCAAUUUUUAUGAAUAAAAAUUUAAUUUCUCAAAAUAUCAUUUUGAAAAUUAUGGUGUGGAUUUGAUAUAAUGUUAUAGUUGUGGGUAAUAUUUAUAAAUUUUACAAUGUAAGCAAGUUGUCAUAAAAUAUUCGAUUGGUCGGGUAAUAUUCGUUUUAUCAGAGAAUAUUCGUACGACGACACAAUUAAUGGUGGACACCACAACGAAAUUAUUAUCGGAGUGAGAAAACGACAGAAAUAACUUUUUAUAAAAUUAACGACAAAAGUUUUACCGUUAACUGUUAAAAUACCCGGUGAUAAAAGUACAGUAAUACGCGUGGUUGCAUAUUAACACACAAUAUUAUACAGUAUCUUUGAUUAUUGAUGCUUACGUGAGAAGUCACUUAGUUUUAUUCAAUUAUUGCCACAGUAAUUGCUGCAUAGUAUC